UCGGGAAUUUUGGGCAAUGGGCGAAAGCCUGAUCCAGCCAUGCCGCGUGAGUGACGAAGGCCUUAGGGUUGUAAAACUCUUUCGUCGGGGACGAUAAUGACGGUACCCGAAGAAGAAGCUCCGGCUAACUUCGUGCCAGCAGCCGCGGUAAUACGAAGGGAGCUAGCGUUGUUCGGAAUCACUGGGCGUAAAGCGCACGUAGGCGGAUAGUUAAGUCAGGGGUGAAAUCCUGGGGCUCAACCUCGGAAUUGCCUCUCAUACUGGCUGUCUCGAGUCCGAGAGAGGUGGGUGGAAUUCCUAGUGUAGAGGUGAAAUUCGUAGAUAUUGGGAAGAACACCGGUGGCGAAGGCGGCUCACUGGCUCGUUUCUGACGCUGUAGCGCGAAAGCGUGGGGAUCAAACAGGAUUAGAUACCCUGGUAGUCCCUGAGCGGGCUGGCAAGGCGCAU
rnacentral:rRNA from 1 species